GUUGUCAUGGGAACGCGGGAGGGCGGUCUAGCGUCCGGCUCCCCUUAGCGGCUACUCUGGGAACAACCCCGCAUCCCCCGCGCGUCCAGUGCCGCAGUGAGGGGUGGGCGUUGAGCGGGGUUGGCUGGGAGUGGGAGCAGAAGACUUUACUGGAGGAGGAGAUAUAAAUCGGAGCAAACCUCUAGAGCUGAUACUGAUGCCCUCUUUGCCAAGCUUUGAGGCUGGUUAUUUAUUUCCUAAAAGUUGGCCUUGAAUCAUUUAUGAUGAUGAUGACUGAGGACCAUUUAUAACCUACUUAGUCACAGGGGCUGAAAAAACACUACCCACGAUGCUCGAUUUAACCUUCAUAAAAGUCCUAUAAUCUCCCACUUUGAAGUAACUUUUGAAAGACCAAACUGCAGUGGCCAAAAUAGGACCAGAAGCUAGCUGAACACAUUUUUCAGUAGGAUCUCCUUUCCUCCAUCUAUCUCUGCUCCCUGAUUCAAAGCCCUAAGUUCUUCCUGGAAGAUGUAAGAUGUUAUUGAACAGACACAUCGUGAGAGUCCGUUGCUUCCUGAGUUUUGAAGUUUUAUGGAAUCAACUCAGAAUCAGGGUUUCGUUCCCCUUCAUGUUUCUGCUGCUCUUGCUCCCCACAACUCACAACCUGUCUCCUGUGCUCCUUAAGUAAUUAACUUUGCAGCCCCCCUGCUAACAUUUGCUCCCCAGAGAGACUGCCUUUGGACUCAAGAUUGAAACGUCAGCUCUUCCUUGGGUUCCCAGCCUACUGGCUGGCACUGCAAAAUUUUGGCUUACCAGCCCCCACGUGAGCCAAUCCCUUAAAAUAAAGUGUUCACUAUAUAU